AACUUCCGCCAAAUCGCGGUGUCCAAUGUUCUUUGUAUGCUUUGUAUGUUGGGCAGGCAUGGUUAUGCUCAGGUUGGCGUGGUGGUGGUGUCACCUUCCAGCCAUUUCUGUGGUGAAAAACCAGCAGGUGUAGGCGAGUGUAUGGCGGUGCUCUGCGACAGUAGGGUCAAUCGGCUCGUAUACAUGCCCUUAAAAGGGUGUCUUUGGGCGGAAGGCACGUUUACUUUGAACAAAUGUGAGUUCUCAAACCAGGCAAUUGUGGCAUGAAACGUUUUGCAUGGAAUAGUGGAAUAGGACUUCAGUUCUAUUUCGUUUGUUUUCGGAUCCGAAGUAUCGAUCAAAAGAGACAGGCAAGGACGUUUUUAUGGUUGCGCUGGAGGUGAAAUUCAUGGACCGUAACCAGACAAACUAAAGCGAAAGCAUUUGUAAAGCAUGUAUUUAUUAUAUAUGAGCGAAAGUCAGAGCAUCGAAGAUGAUCAGAUACCGUCCUAAAUCUGACCGUAAACGAUACAAACUGACAAUCCGUGGUGGUUGUUUUUUAACCAUCCCCACGGGCAUACCCCGGGAAAACUUUAAGUUUUUUGGUUUCUGGGGAAGUAUGGUUGCAAAGCUGAAACCUAAGAAAUUGACGGAAUGGCACCACCAGGCGGUGAGCCUGGUGCUUAAUUUGACUCAACACGGGAAAAAUCACCCAGCCCGGACAAUGUGAGGAUUGACAGAUUGAUAGCUCUUUCUUGAUUUAAUGGUUAAUGGUGCAUGGCCGUUCUUAGUUGGUGAAGCGAUUUGGUUGGUUAAUUCCGAUAACGACCGAGACUCUAGCCUGAUAAUUAGUACGCUUGUCCUCUGUUCCUGUGCUUGCGGCGUAUUGGUUAUACUGCUUACUUCAGCUGACUACUGUCGGGCCACGCAUUUCUCUGCAUGCGUGUACUGUUNGACCUUCCCGGGGCGAGUAGUGCGCGCGCGUGUGGGGCAGCGGACAGCGGUAGGAGGUGUGAGCGGUGGGUUCAGCGCUAGUCUCCGGGUACAAAACAGGUGUUUCUACUACUACGAGGGACAAGCAUUACGAAUGUGCACGAAAUUGAGCAAACACCGGUCUGUGAUGCCCUAAGAUGUCCGUAACCGCACGCGCGCUACAAUAUCGGUGCCAACGAGUCUGAACUUCUGGCCCGAAAGGGUUGGGAAAACUGGUCAAUCACCGUCAUGACAGGGAUCGGGGCUUGGAAUUGUUCCUCGUGAACGAGGAAUUUCUAGUAAGUGCAAAUCAUAAGCUUGUGCUGAUAACGUCCCUGCCCUUUGUUCACACCUCCCGUUGCUACUACCCAUUGCAUGGUUCAGUAAGGUCCUCGUAUUGGCAACAAUGUUGUGCCAGCCGCAAGGUUGGUGCUCGACAGGUGCCGAGAAGACGACCAAACAUGAUCAUUUAGAGGAAGUUAAAGUCAUAACAAGGUUUCCGUAGGUGAACCUUCGGAAGGAUCAUUA
rnacentral:ncRNA from 1 species